AUGUAUAGGGGUAUUUUUUUUAUCUUUACCAGCAGUCUUGGAGGAGGGGUGAGGAGGGAUGACACAAAUUAUCUACAUGAAUAUGCAUCGUGUGGCGUCGCCUCCAGGUGGUGGAAGGUCUUACAAGACUCCACCAUUUCCAGUGUUGUUUGUUGUUUGGCGGUCUGCGCGAGGGAAGGUCAUGUGUUGCUGAAGCAGUCUCGUGGCAAGGGUUACACUGGAUGGAACAAUGGAUGGAAUCAACAGAACAUUGAUCGAGGUAUGCAAACCGACAUAAGCCUUUGCAAGUAAAACUAGUUUUUCAUUUUGCACUACGUGGUUUGUCAUUGUCUUCCGAGCCAACGAUCACAAUGACGGACGAAGAAAGGUCUUCCUAGCCAAAGGAAUGUAGAAUCUAAUAAAGGUAUCAGUGUAUUCCCCAACUCCAUAGCGAAAUUCACUGUGAGAUCUUCAAUGCUCACUAGCAACCAUUGCUAGCUGACGAAUCCCCAGAUGAAUAUCCCUUCUGACACACUAUUCAUUGAUGGAACGACUUGCCCAUGAAACAUUAAGGUGACAUAUGAUAAUCGGGCCAAUAAUUAAAUUCAGAUUAGACAGCUGAAGGGUGAGAGUGCUACGUCUGAACCUUCCACCGGCCGUUAUUUGUAGGAAUACAUGAUUGAUUUUAAAACGAAAGAAUUGGUGACAGUAGAGAUAAAUAACUAAAAACUGUAAUGUCAUGUUUUAUGAAAAUCCAAUAUUAUUUGGCAUUGCAAAAUAUUGCCCUGACAUUUCAUCAUUACUUGCCUGGUUAUUAUCAGGAAAUAAUAAUGCCUUGGGAAUGUUUCCUUGCACUGAUGCUAAAAAGAGAUUCAACGCAUGCAUGAUGACCAAACUAAAUAUAAAAGUUUUGAGCGGGUGGUUCAAGCUUGCGUGUAUAAUAACAUGUAAAACUACAGAGUUCAAUGAACACCUUACCCCGCACAGUCUUGAGAGAAAAAGGACAUAGGAAGGGUCUUAUCAACUCUUCCUUUGCGUUUCUGAGCACGAUGUAUAUUACUAAUAUUAGCUUUGUUCGUGAACUUUGAAUAACAAGCGUGAUGGUAACCAUACAAAGCUGAUGGAUGAAAUGGACAAGUCCAGAGCUGAACCUGCUGCCAACUUUUCUUGGACAAACUGAGGCUUUUGAAAUGCUCUUUCGUUGAAAUGGCAUUCAAUUUUGCCAAAUUACUGCUAAACUGAGAGGUUUUGGAAGUGCAAAAAGGCGAUUUGUGUUCUUCGUGUUCAAAAUAUUGAAUUAAAUUGAAAUAAAAAGCAGUUUUAAAGGCUGUAGAAAAAGAAGAGAAAAAAAAAACAUUGAAUGGGCAGGUUUCCACAGUUGAUGUAUUUGGGAAACACCAUCUUUUACACCUCUUUAUAAAACAGGUUGUAAUCGUUAUUCACGCCUGUUAUUUGUGUCCUUUGUGAAGUCUCUAAAAACAGUGUUUCCUGUUUGGAAUGAUUUUCCAAAAAAUUUCACUGCCAGAUUGACAGACAGACGACAGACUGAAGCAAUUGCUUUACCCCACUGCACAUAUUAGACACGGUGCAUGCAAUGUUUCCAAAUCCUUAGCCAAAGCACUGCUAAAUUGCAGAUUUAUGGAAGUGUAAACAAGCUGAUUCAUGUUCGACAUGUUCGAAAUAUGAAAGUCAAUUGAAGUUCCUCAAUCAUAGACUGAAAGGCACACAAUAGGAGUGAACCAAUUGCUUAACCCCAGGUUUGCUCGAUGCGUGUGGGGUAAUAUAAUUGAUCAAUGUUGAAAUUUUGUACAAUGAUAUUGUCAUGUCAGAGGCUCGUAAACACAAUAUGCCACAGCACAGGGAUCUUUGAUCCUGUGAAUAGCCGAAACGUCGUAGGCUAAACUGCAUUCAAGUAAGAAUUCAUCUACAAUGCAUUCUAGACUUACUAUUCCCCAAGAUCGUUCCAAGUGAAACCAAAUUUGGGCAGUGGAAAUGCGCGUGAGGCGAAAGAUGAGAACACGUCUCUUACCUUUAUAACCGUCUCUCAAGGAACAAAUGGGCAGAUGAAGGCUUGUAUAUACACAAACUGCUUGAGGUCCCAUGAUGACGAGCCAGAGCAACUCUGACUGCAAAAACAAGAAGCAGUGAAGACGAAGAAGGCAACGCAAGGUGGUGCAGAUUCAAGCUCAUAAGCACGAUGCUCCACAGAUGUGAAUGCCGGUGCGUCCAUUCUCCUGCAUGGUGCCGAUCCCCCUCCUCUUGGUGUCUUCCGCACCAGUUUGACCCUCCCGGACUUUGGGUCCGCCUCUCCAAGUGGUGGGUCCCGUCAUUGGCUGCCAACAAGUGCAUGUGACACCUUGCUCUUGCCAUCCCGCCCCGCUAGGCGUGCCCAUAAAAAAGUAUUCUACCCCUUCCAGGCUUCCACAUUGCAUCUCGCCAGCAUGGUUUACGAGCAUGUGCCGACAGUUCAUAAUGGUCCAAACAAAGCACUUUCUUCGUACCGUUGUUUUACAAGCCCUCCACAUGGCCUCACAUAUCAUACACGAGGUUUUACACUGCACAACCUUACCCUGACUAUCUUAAAAGUUAACACUCACUGCCUCCAUGGUGCAACUAUUACAUACGGUACAACUUAACCGAACAGGUCCCUGUUGCAUGGC
rnacentral:lncRNA from 1 species